UAGAACCUGAAACCGUAUGCAUACAAGCAGUUCGAGGCCUAUGCCGGAAACGCAAGUGCCCGGAAUGGCUGAGAGCGUGCCUGUUGAAGAAUGAUCCGGCGAGUUAUUGGUAGGUGCAAGGUUAAUUAUUAUGUUUAUGCAUAUUAAGCAGCCGUAGCGAAAGCAAGUCUGAAAGGGCGAAUAGUACCUAUCAUUAGACCCGAAGCCAAGUGAUCUAUGCCUGGACAGAGUGAAUCCCCUUUAAUCGGGGGAGGAGGCUCGAAGCGUCGACCGUUGAAAAGGUCUUGCAUGAGCUGGGUAUAGGGGUGAAAGGCCAAUCUAACUUGGUGAUAGCUGGUUCUCCUCGAAAUAGUUUUUGGACUAGCCUGGAGCGUUAAACCAGAGAGGUAGAGCACUGGAUAGUUUAGCGGGUGUAACCCACUUUGCAAUGCUAACCAAACUCCGAAUUCUCUGGCGUAUUUCUCUGGAGUCAGUACGUGUGGGAUAAGCUUCACGUGCAAAAGGGAAACAGCCCAGACCAUCAAUUAAGGUCCCUAAAUAUAUGCUAAGUGGUAAAGGAUGUGGAAUUUCUUAGACAGCUAGGAGGUUGGCUUAGAAGCAGCCAUCCUUUAAAGAGUGCGUAACAGCUCACUAGUCAAGUGAUUCUGCGCCGAAGACACCCGGGGCUCAAGCAUAUUACCGAAAUUAUGGAUUCUAUAGCAGUAUAGAGUGGUAGAGGAGCGUUCCUGUCGCGCUGAAGGCAUACCGUAAGGAGUGCUGGAGUUACAGGAAGUGAGAAUGUCGGAAUAAGUAGCGAUAAGAGAGGUGAAAAUCCUCUCCGCCGAAAACCUAAGGUUUCCUUGAGUAAAGUUCGUCUGCUCAGGGUCAGUCGAUCCUAAGCCGAGGUCGAAAGACGUAGGCGAUGGGUAUCCGGUUAAUAUUCCGGAACUAUCUUUGGUGCAUAUAAUGUGCUUGGCUACGCUUUUCAGUAGGUCAUCAUCCGAUUGGAAGUGGAUGUUGCUCCGUAAGGAGGAGGACCUGAGACAACUCGGGGAACUGACUGUAUGGAAAGCCAAGAAAAACCCAAACACCUGUGCCAGAGGUAAACGUACCGUAAACGGACACACGUAGGUGGGGUGAAGAUCCUAAGGCGCGCGAGAUAACUUUCGUUUAGGAACUCGGCAUAUUAGCCCCGUAACUUCGGGAUAAGGGGUGCCUGUGGCAACACAGGUCGCAGUGAAAUGGCCCUCGUGACUGUUUAACAAAAACACAGGACUCUGCUGAAAUCGCAAGAUGAUGUAUAGGGUCUGACGCCUGCCCGGUGCUGGAAGGUCAAGGGGAGGAGUUAGCGCAAGUGAAGCUCUGAACUUAAGCCCCAGUAAAC
rnacentral:ncRNA from 1 species